rnacentral:rRNA from 1 species
UACGAAGGGGGCUAGCGUUGCUCGGAAUCACUGGGCGUAAAGGGUGCGUAGGCGGGUCUUUAAGUCAGGGGUGAAAUCCUGGAGCUCAACUCCAGAACUGCCUUUGAUACUGGAGAGCUCGAGUCCGGAAGAGGUGAGUGGAACUGCGAGUGUAGAGGUGAAAUUCGUAGAUAUUCGCAAGAACACCAGUGGCGAAGGCGGCUCACUGGUCCGGUACUGACGCUGAGGUGCGAAAGCGUGGGGAGCAAACAGG